CGGACAUGGGUCCGUUGGAAUGUAACCCUUAGAGGUUGAACCGUAAG
rnacentral:ncRNA from 1 species